GACGAACGCUGGCGGCGUGCCUAACACAUGCAAGUCGAACGGGACUUAAUGGAAUGCGGCUUCGGCCAAAGGAAGUUAAGUUUAGUGGCGAACGGGUGAGUAACGCGUGAGAAACCUGCCUCUCAGUGGGGGACAACAGUUGGAAACGACUGCUAAUACCGCAUAACAUAUCCGGAGGGCAUCCUCUGGAUAUCAAAGCUUUAUGUGCUGAGAGAUGGUCUCGCGUCUGAUUAGCUAGUUGGUGAGGUAACGGCUCACCAAGGCGACGAUCAGUAGCCGGUCUGAGAGGAUGAACGGCCACAUUGGGACUGAGAUACGGCCCAGACUCCUACGGGAGGCAGCAGUGGGGAAUAUUGGGCAAUGGGGGAAACCCUGACCCAGCAACGCCGCGUGAAGGAAGAAGGCCUC
rnacentral:rRNA from 1 species